AAAGACUUGACGGUACUUCACAACAACCUAGAGGAGCCUGUCCAAUAACCGAUACCCCACGAUUAACCCAACCUACUCUAGCCCACCAGUCUAUAUACCGCCGUCGCCAGCUUACCUUGUGAAAGAAAUAAAGUGAACCUAACAGGCCAUCCCUAGCACGACAGGUCGAGGUGUAACAAAUGAGUGGGUAAAGAUGGGCUACAUUUUCUUAAACAGAAAAUACGAAUAAACUAUGAAAUUAGAAACUGAAGGUGGAUUUAGCAGUACAUUAAGGAUAAAAUACUUAACUGAAACCAAUGCAAUGAAGUGCGUACACACCGCCCGUCAUCCCUG
rnacentral:rRNA from 1 species